UUAUAUGCCUUUAAAUAAUUUUAGAGCAUCAGAGCAUGUCACGUGUUUCGGUAGCCUAGGUGACUAAUAGGUUAAUCAGGCUAGCAGGAGCGAAGAGAAGACACGUUGCUGUGCGAUUUAUGGAAAAAAGGAGGCUUAAUCCUGCACAAUUUAUUUAAUAGAACCCUUUGGGAAAGCGGAGCGAGUUUCACGGUGCUACGCAACGAAAGUUUAAUGGCUCUCGUCUUGAGCAAAAUAAAGAAUCAAGCACCCGUCAGAAACUCUCUGUCUCGUUCAUGGAAACCAAAGGGCAUCUACACUGCUUAAUAACUCCUGGUCAAAGAGCAGUAGACGUAUUUGUAAAUGUAUUUUUAUUUAAUCUUUACAGUUUCGUUGAUGACAUGAACAGGAUGUACUGCAUAGAUCUGACAGCUCCGUGGCUCAGUGAAAGAAUAAAACGUCUAGAAGAGGAUGGAGUACAGUGUAUAAAUAAACCUAAUAAUGCACACACUGGGACUGGACAUCUGUGAACAUCAACCAGAACGUGAUCUUCACUAUGCAGGAACUACAGAAGAAAGAGAUUUUCAUACAGUCAUGUUAUACUGUACUGCAAAAUUCUACUUUAAACUGUAAAUGCAUGAUUCUAUGCAGGAAAAAAAUAUGUUGAAUCUAUUGCACAAAGAAAAUAAUUUGCCAUUUUCUUUUCUUUUUUCUUUGCUCUCUGCCAUGUAGUCUAACUGUGGUUAUCACUUUGUCUUGUCUUGUAUUUUUUCUUUUUCUUAUAUUAUUUUAAUGCAUU